AACGUCUAUACGACCGUAUCUACAUAUUUUUGCAUGUUUACAAAUUUUAAUCUUAAUUAAACAGCCAAUCCGGUUCUUGGUAACAAUUACAAUUAAACGCGUCGAUUGGCUGUUUAAAAUUAGAAUUGUAAACAUGCAAAAAUAUGUAGGUGCGGUCGUAGACGUU